UCGUUAGCUCAGUUGGGAGAGCAUCGCCCUUACAAGGCGAGGGUCACUGGUUCAAGUCCAGUACGACCCACCA
rnacentral:tRNA from 2 species